rnacentral:rRNA from 1 species
CGCACGAUCUAUUUUGUGGUUUAUAGGACCGCCGUAAUGAUAAUAGGACAGUCGGGGCAUCAGUAUCAACUGUCAGAGGUGAAUUCGUGGAUCAGUGAGACUAACUACUGCGAAAGCAUUGCCAAGGAUGUUUUCAUUAAUCAGGAACGAAAGUUAGGGGAUCGAAGACGAUCAGAUACCGUCGUAGUCUUAACGCAUAAACUAUGCCGACUAGGGAUCGGACGGUGUUAUUCAUGACCCGCUCGGCACCUACGAGAAAUCAAAGUGCUUGGGCUCCAGGGGGAGUACGGUCGCAGGGCUGAAACUUAAAGAAAUUGACGGAAGGGCCCCACCAGGGGUGGAGCCUGCGGCUUAAUUUGACUCAACACGGGGAAACUCACCAGGUCCAGACACAAUAAGGAUUGACAGAUUGAGAGCUCUUUCUUGAUUUUGUGGGUGGUGGUGCAUGGCCGUUCUUAGUUGGUGGGGUGACUUGUCUGCUUAAUUGCGAUAACGAACGAGACCUUAACCUGCUAAAUAGCCCGCAUUGCUCCGGCAGUGCGCUGGCUUCUUAGAGGGACUUUCGGCUCAAGCCGAAGGAAGUUUGAGGCAAUAACAGGUCUGUGAUGCCCUUAGAUGUUCUGGACCGCACGCGCGCUACACUGACGGGGUCAGCGAGUUCCUUGGCCGAAAGGCCCGGGUAAUCUUGUUAGCCCCCGUCGUGCUGGGGAUAGAGCAUUGCAAUUAUUGCUCUUCAACGAGGAAUCCCUAGUAAGCGCAAGUCAUCAGCUUGCGUUGAUUACGUCCCUGCCCUUUGCACACACCGCCCGUC